UUGGAGGUCAGCAGAAUUAUUGGUGAGCAAUUUCUCUAACAGAGGGAGGGAAUUUAGGGUUUAGAAGUUUCCCCAUUCCAAGAACACAAAGGCAUUUGUAUGGAGUUAGUGUCCAGUGGAGGCUGGGAGCUCACACACCCCAAUUACUGCCUCAGCAUCAGAAAGGCUCAGCCCCGAGGCCACACUACUACUGUCAACGUAACUUGUGGAAGACACUAUGGAGGAGCAGUAAUAGGAUGUUACUUUUGGGGAAGUAUUUCCAACUGGUGGACAUCUGGCUCCCAGUGAUUCCCAUGGAAGAAGAGGGGGUAGAUGCCUUCCCAGUCUCUGAGAUUCCCUCUGAGCCAUCUUCCUCCCGUUUUUGUCUAAGUGAAUAAAACUGGUAGUUGGGGAUAUGUCAGAAGGUCCUGGACAUUGGAGUAACAAGGGAAAAGAGAACCACAGAAAAUAACAGCCUCAUGUAAUAGCAUCCAUUUUAUUUCUGAUGCAGAAUGAUAAAAGACUGUUGAAUUGGAUGGUCAAGAGAGCAUCUUUGAAAAAUAUGGAGGAACGUGGUAACUGAAGAGCCUGGUUACCACCAUAAUACUUUCUGUCUACGAAUUUGAUGACUUUAAUACCUCCUUUUAAUGGAAUUGUACCAUAUGUAUCCUUUUGUGUUUGAUUUAUUUCACCUUUCUUUGCAUCUUCAAGAUUCAUACAUGUUGUAGCCUGUGUCAGAAUUGUGCUUUUUUAGGCCAAUAAUGAUCUACUGAAUGUGCAUACUAUAUUUUAUUUAACCAUUCACUCAUGGGUGAACACUUGGUUUGUUUCCACCUUUCAACUAUUAUGAGUAAUACUGAUAUAAAUGUUAAAUGUACAAAUGUCUUUGUGGAUCCUUGCUUCUAAUUUUUCUGAGUGUAUACCACCAGAAUUGAAAUUGCUGGGUCAUCUAGUAAUC